CGGGUUAAAGGAAGAAGAGUAUACUUUUUGCCCUCUUUUCCUACCAUGUACCUAUUGUAUUUUCUACAAAGUUAUUGGGAUUUACGCAUUUCAAAGAAAUGUAUGUGCAUGAUAGUGAUUUUUCAAAUGUUUAUGUGGCUUGUGAACAUGAGGAAUUUCAAGACUUAGGCUCAUGGUUUUCUAUUUUAAAAGGAAAAAUUACGUGUGCCUAAUAGUUAUAUUAGGGAGUUGCUUGUUCGU
rnacentral:lncRNA from 1 species